rnacentral:rRNA from 1 species
AGUGAACGCUGGCGGCGUGCCUAAUACAUGCAAGUCGAACGGAGUGGCGCACGGGUGAGUAAUAUAUAGCUAAUCUGCCCCUUGCUGGAGGACAACAGUUAGAAAUGACUGCUAAUAUUCCAUAGCACGGGAUGUGACUAUAUCGUAUCAGAUAGUCGGUGGGGUAACGGCCUACCGAGGCUAUGACGCGUAACUGGUCUGAGAGGAUGAUCAGUCACAUUGGAGCUGGGACGCGGUGCAGACUCCUACGGGAGGCAGCAGUGGGGAAUAGUGCGCAAUGGGGGGAACCAUGACGCAGCAACGCCGCGUGGAGGAUGACACUUUUCAGAACGUAAACUCCUUUUGUUAGGGAAGCGGUACCUGACGAAUAAGCACCGGCUAACUACGUGCCAGCAGCCGCGGUAAUAC